rnacentral:rRNA from 1 species
UAACGGCGCACGGGAGCAUCCUGGUGGCUUAGUGGCGAACGGGUGAGUAAUAUAUCGGAACGUGCCCAGUCGUGGGGGAUAACGCAGCGAAAGCUGUGCUAAUACCGCAUACGAUCUACGGAUGAAAGCGGGGGAUCGCAAGACCUCGCGCGAUUGGAGCGGCCGAUAUCAGAUUAGCUAGUUGGUGGGGUAAAGGCCCACCAAGGCGACGAUCUGUAGCUGGUCUGAGAGGACGACCAGCCACACUGGAACUGAGACACGGUCCAGACUCCUACGGGAGGCAGCAGUGGGGAAUUUUGGACAAUGGGCGCAAGCCUGAUCCAGCAAUGCCGCGUGCAGGAUGAAGGCCUUCGGGUUGUAAACUGCUUUUGUACGGAACGAAACGGUGAGCUCUAAUAAAGUUUGCUAAUGACGGUACCGUAAGAAUAAGCACCGGCUAACUACGUGCCAGCAGCCGCGGUAAUACAGUAGGGUGCGAGCGUUCAUCGGAAUUACUGGGCGUAAAGACAGUGCGCAGGCGGUUAUGUAAGACAGAUGUGAAAUCCCCGGGCUCAACCUGGGACCUGCAUUUGUUGACUGCAUAGCUAGAGUACGGUAGAGGGGGAUGGAAUCCGGAUGUAAGCAAGUGGAAAACUGGCGUUAAGAUUAUUGCGGGGAAGGACACCCCGACUUGGCCGAAAGGGCAAUCCCCCCUGGGAACCUGCUAUUGAAAGGCAUUCACUGCACGAAAAAGCGUCGGAGGAAACAAAACAGGGAUAAGAAUACCCUGGUUCGUCAGCCCCUAACGACGUCAACGGGUGUUGGGGUCUCACGUGACACCAGAAACGAAGUACACGCGUU